rnacentral:misc_RNA from 1 species
AAAAAAAAUAAUAUAUAUUAAAAUUUCAAAAUCACAUACAAUCACUCGAUACAAAAGUGAAAGAUGGGUACUUUACUUUGUUCUUUUUCUUUAAUCAGCGUAAAAUCGAAGUCCACCUCAUGCCCUUCCCUUUCUUUCUCUUUCUUACCAAAGGAAAAGGAAAGCAAAUGAAAUUCCUCCUUGCUUUCCUUCUUCCUCAAAAAUAAAUAUACAAAUAUAUACUCAGUUUCCUUCCGUCUUCGCUGCCGCCAUUCCACGCAUCAUCAGUCAGCCUAGCAGCAAUCAAAGCGUUAUCUUCUCUCUUUCUCUCUCUCCUCCGACACCACGAAUCAAUAAUAUGCCAUAGAUCAGGAUACCAAUAGAAACCGACUCUCGGCUUCAGAUCUGCUCGCAAAACCAUCGUCAAGAUCCAAUUUUGCCUCUUUCGAUCACUUUGGUUCUUCACUUGCAAAGAAAUUAAUGAUGGAUUCUGAGCAACGUCGCAAGCGGAAGCGAAUAAACAAACCCUACGCCAACUUCUUUUCAGUUAAGUCUUUAACUGUUUGCUUGUCUUUCUUCUUCCUUCUUCUCUUCAUUUCUUCAGAUCGCUCGCCUAUUCGUACUGGGUCGUUUCGUCCAGUGCUUUCUGUACCCACGUCCUUGUCGCUUUUGCCAACCCGUCUAGCGCUAGUUCGAGAUUCCUUUGAUACUAGAUCCCUGUCUUUGAUGGUGGAAGAUAGGGUCUUGUUGCCUGACCACUUGCUGCUAAUUGUUUCUAGUAAACUCCGUAACAAUGAAAAUUUUUAUUGUGUUUACUAUAGUUCCUUCAAUUCUUUGUCUUCUGUGAAUGUGUUUGUAAAGCCGGCUUUAUCUGUUGAUGAGUAUCGUGAGGAUAAGUCCAUUGUGAGGUGCCAGCUUCCGCCGAUGAAUUUUUCUGCCGUCGUUGACUUGCGGCGGACGUGGGAGGCAAAGGAAGGUGAUGGGCUGUCACGGGGUAAUGCGGCGGUGGCGGUUCCUUCUUGGGAUAGAGUGGUAUAUGAAGCGAUAUUGGAUUUUAACACAGCCGUUGUGUUCGUUAAAGGAUUGAAUCUUCGUCCACACAGGGAAUCAGAUCCAACCCAAUUCAGAUGCCGCUUUGGUUUAACUAACUUUGACAAGAAUGAAGGAUUUGUGUUCACUACUAAAGCAACUGCGGCUGCACAAGAGGUUAUUAGGUGUUUGAUGCCGCGAAGUGUUAGGAGGAAUCCGGAGAAGGCUCAGGGGAUUCGAGUCACAGUUAGCCGGGUUGAUGCUGGUGAAGAUGCCAUUGAUGGGCCUCUGCCUUCUGUGGCGAAAGUUUACAGCACCAAUUUGCAGCGGCAGAGGAGUUACAGUAGGAAGAAGUAUGAGCUCUGUGCUUGUACAAUGCUGUGGAACCAAGCCUCUUUUCUCGGGGAGUGGAUUGUCUACCAUGCUUGGCUUGGUGUUGAAAGAUGGUUCAUCUAUGACAACAAUAGCGAUGAUGGGAUUCAGGAGGUGAUUGAUGAGCUUAAUUUGCAGAACUACAAUGUCAGUAGGCAUGCUUGGCCGUGGACUAAAGCACAGGAGGCUGGUUUUUCGCAUUGUGCUUUGCGAGCAAGGAGUGAAUGCAAGUGGCUGGGAUUCUUUGACGUGGACGAGUUCUUUUACUUCCCUCGUCACCGUGGACAAGACAUGCAGGGUCAAAAUUCACUACGAACUCUGGUUGCGAAUUACACGAAUUCACCAAUAUAUGCAGAAAUUAGAACAAUUUGUCACAGCUUCGGACCAUCUGGUUUGACCUCAGCUCCAUCGCAGGGAGUAACUGUUGGGUAUACUUGCAGGCUUCAAGCUCCUGAACGGCACAAAUCUAUUGUGCGUCCAGAACUCCUAGAUGUAACCCUUCUCAACGUGGUGCAUCACUUCAGAUUACAGCGUGGAUACAGGUACCUGAAUGUGCCUGAAAGCACAGCUGUAGUGAACCACUAUAAAUACCAGGUGUGGGAUACUUUCAAAGCCAAGUUCUUCAGGCGAGUUUCUACAUACGUUACUAACUGGCAAGAGGACCAAAACAAAGGUUCAAAAGACAGAGCACCUGGAUUAGGGACUGUGGCCAUAGAACCUCCUGAUUGGCGGCUACGGUUCUGUGAAGUUUGGGACACUGGUCUUAAGGAUUUUGUCUUGGCCAACUUUGCUGAUACUGCAACUGGGUUACUUCCUUGGGAGAGGUCUCCUUUCUAACAAAUUCACACUUGAAGGCGCUUGCAGCUAGGCGCCCAUGUAAAGCAGAGUAAUCAUACACGCAGCCAUCCAUUCUUUUGUUUCUUUAGCAAUUUUUUUUUUCUCUUUUUUUUGGUUUGGUCAUAGACAUGCAAACUACACAGUUACACAGUUGUAAAGUUGCUAAAAUAUGAAAUGAUUCUUUUCUUCAUUCUUUUGCUCCUUUGCUCUUGAUUUUAAAAUGCAGUUGUCAUGGAAGUUUUGUGUUCUAGAUAUGAUGUAAAAUUGAAUACAGUGGUUCACACAUAAUGACAUAAUUAUGUUCCAAUGACAGAAUGUUAUAUUAAAUUUAAAAUGCUGGAAGUUUGAGAACCUUAGGAUUUCACUUUUACAAUUUACAAACAAAAUGAUACCAGUUCAGUAUAUCAUAUUAUUGGCAGAACAGAUAGUCUUGAAAAUUCAACAUGGAUAGGCGGGUCUAGUCAGUGAUCCAAGUCCAACCUUCCAAAUGGCCUUGGAGAGGAAUGGUCCAAAUACUUAUAAAGGUAUAUAUGACCUGAUGCCCGGUUCGGUGAUGGCCUAUUUUGUGUUAUUUUAAGAGUUGUUCAAACCUAAUCUGGACGUGCUAGACCAAAAUAACAUCCUUCCAUUCACCAAUCGACACUAAAGGAGUCAACGAAGGACGGCAGAUUAGAUAAAUAUUAAAAAUCUAGUCUCCUCUGAAUGUCUUUUCCGGACAUUGCUAUCAAUUCCAUACAAUAUUCAUGCAAAAAAAAGGAAUGCCACUAUAACGGUCAUUAUGCUCUCAAGAGGGUAAGACUCCAAUAUAUUCAGCCAAGAAAUAAUGAAAUUGAGGAUCAGGAGUAGCAACAGAGUUGCCUGGCAAAUUCUAUAUGACGUUGAAUCUUGAUAAGUUUGUCCCAGCCUCAACAAAACUGCUCAUUUGCCAGGGAUGUUCCUAACCAAUAUAACCAUAUAGAAUUGUCACUUAAUUCACCUGCAGAAAACGUCAUACAAAAGAAUAAAUAGCUAAAUGAGACAGCAUUUGAAUAAGGCUUGUAUUCAGAACUGUCACACACACACACACACACACGGAUGUAAACAUUCAAGGGGGGAAACGCAUUCACAGAAUUGAAUUGAAUCUCAAACAAACUCUGAUAAGGUUGACCUUAAUUUGUAUAACAAGUUACAAUUCUCCAAGAUUGAAGAAAACACUACUCCUUAGUCCUUACUGCAACAUACUAUAUCAGAAGGUUCCAAAAUUCUACGUGAAUGAAUCAGUUCCACCACGAAUGAGCUCAAUUCUACUAGAAGAUUUGAAAAUUCUACACGCACAGAUGAUAAUGCAAGUAGACAAACAAAUAACUGUGUGCCACAACUAGACACAAUUAAAGUAAAACAAAGAUGAUACAAGGUAUAUUUUGCAGCAAUCCAUCAUUGACAGCAAGGGCUCACCUAUAGAAGUUGUAGUUAACAGAUAUACUUAAAUUUUGAUCUUUCUUAAAACAUAACUUUCAAAACCUGUUCCUUUUAUGUUCAGCCAUUCAUAACUGCUUGAACUGCAUCGAUUUUUCAAAACUUCAUCCAGAAUAUUUGUAUACCAUGCAGACGAAGAAGUCUUCUGCACAUGGACAAGAAAUAUAACUUAAAAUGUGAAUCCUAUGACUUACCAGCCAUGAUGCUUCAUUUUGAAAGGUUGGCUUAAU